GGAUAACUUACCCUUAGGACUGGGAUAACUCUGGGAAACUGGGGAUAAUACUGGAUAUUUGGCUAUGCCUGGAAUGGUUUGCCUUUGAAAUGUUUUCUUUUUCGCCUAAGGAUAGAUCUGCGGCUGAUUAGGUCGUUGGUGGGGUAAUGGCCCACCAAGCCGAUGAUCGGUACGGGUUGUGAGAGCAAGAGCCCGGAGAUGGAACCUGAGACAAGGUUCCAGACCCUACGGGGUGCAGCAGGCGCGAAACCUCCGCAAUGUACGAAAGUGCAACGGGGGGAUCCCAAGUGUUAUGCUUUUUUUGUAUAACUUUUCAUUAGUGUAAAAAGCUUUUAGAAUAAGAGCUGGGCAAGACCGGUGCCAGCCGCCGCGGUAACACCGGCAGCUCGAGUGGUAGCUGUUUUUAUUGGGCCUAAAGCGUUCGUAGCCGGUUUGAUAAGUCUUUGGUGAAAGCUUGUAGCUUAACUAUAAGAAUUGCUGGAGAUACUAUUAGACUUGAAGUCGGGAGAGGUUAGAGGUACUACCGGGGUAGGGGUGAAAUCCUAUAAUCCUGGGAGGACCACCUGUGGCGAAGGCGUCUAACUGGAACGAUCUUGACGGUGAGUAACGAAAGCCAGGGGCGCGAACCGGAUUAGAUACCCGGGUAGUCCUGGCCGUAAACGAUGUAGACUUGGUGUUGGAAUGGCUUUGGGUUGUUCCGGUGCCGAAAGGGAAGCUGUUAAGUCUACCGCCUGGGAA
rnacentral:rRNA from 1 species